UAUUCAUCUGACUGUGCCAGGUCUUAGUUGGGGCACGUGGGAUCUAGUUCCCUGGCCAGGGGUUGAACCUAGGCCCCCUGCACUGGGAGCAUAGAGCCUUAGCUACUGGAUCACCAGGGAAGUCCCUGUAUUCUCUUAAUCUUUAUUACCCAAAGAUCCAGGUACAAUGGAGUUUGGGAAGGGAGUGUUGAGCUUUUAUAUCUUCUACAGAGGAGAUGGCAAAUGGAGACAGGNNNNNNNNNNNNNNAUAACUCAGUCAAAUAAUGUCAGACAUACUAUUCCUGAAAGACCAUUCCUUCCAACAGCUAUCACAGUCAUAUGAGUACACCACAUACUCUUAUCUAUUCCAUUUUUGAUGGAUGUUUUUUUAUUUUUGCUAUUGCAAACAAUGGUGCAGUGAAUAUUCUUGCAUUUGUCUUCUAAUUUUGUAAAAUCUUUAUCAUCUUCAUCAAACACAAAAAUUGUUGUUUUGAUUGCUAAAUCAUGUCCAACUCUCUGUGAGCACAUGGACUGUAGCCCUCCAGGCUCCCUUGUCCAUAGGAUUUCCUGGGCAAGAAUACUGGAGGGGGUUGCCAUUUCUUUCUCCAGGGGAUCUUCCUGACCCACGGAUCGAACCCAUACCUCUUGCACUGGCAAGAGGAUUCUUUACUACACGGCCGCCAGGGAAGCCCCUCCCCUCCACAAAAACUGGCUCUAAUGAAUAAUAUAUUUUUGCUUAGCAAGGAUUUUGAAACAAAAAGUUCAAUAUUUACCUCUAACAUCACUUUCCUGAGGUAUAAACUUGAAGUGAAUUUAUGAGUUUCUCCUUGGGGUAACAGGAGUUUCUGGGAGUAGAAAGCCAGUAAACAUAUGAACAAUUUCCUGCUACACAUAAAUCAAUAAAGUCUAAGUGUAUAAAGACCAUAAUUUGAAUUAGUUCAUAAGCAAAAACUAGGAUCUAUCAAAAGGAAGCAAAACGAAUCAGAAAUCUCAGCACAGAACACAUGGGAUGAAAGCAACACUGGGAAAAGAAAAAAAGAAAGCAACACUGCAACACAGAAGAGCACAGGUCGGUUCAGGGCCCAGACGAACAAGACCAACCACACUGGUUACAGGCCAUCCCCAGUUCCCUUCAGAAGAGGAACAGGAGGUUUCUAUUUUUGUCAGUGGAGAUUCUUUACAUUGCAAGUGAAGAAAAAUUCAAGAGAAACUGAUUUCAUUGAAAAGGGGAACUGAAGAGACCAUUGGUGGGUCCAGGGAUAAUCAUAACAUUAUUCAAAGCUUGAUGCAACAACUAAUACUCAACACAGCCAAAAAUAAAUAAGUAUAUUUUUAAAAAACCCACGAAGCUCAAAUNNNNNNNNNNNNNNNNNNNNNNNNNNNNNNNNNNNNNNNNNNNNNNNNNNNNNNNNNNNNNNNNNNNNNNNNNNNNNNNNNNNNNNNNNNNNNNNNNNNUCAAAGCUUGAUGCAACAACUAAUACUCAACACAGCCAAAAAUAAAUAAAUAUAUUUUUAAAAAACCCACGAAGCUCAAAUACUGCCACCAGACCUAGCUCUCAGAUCUUCUUCCUCUUAGGGUUAAACUUCAUUUUCAGAUUGGUUCCCGUUCAAUCCCUGGUCGGGGAACUAAGAUCCCACUGGUCAAGAAGCAAUGGAACCUGGGUGCUGCAACUAGAGAGUCUGUGUGCCACAACAAAGGUCUUGCAAAGACGGAAUAAAGAUUCCGAGUUCCGCAACUCAGACCUGACGCAGCCAAAUAAAUAAAUAUUUCAAAAAAAGUAUUGGAAGAUAUUUCAUUGUUAUUGUUUACAAUAGUUUAUUGCAGUAAGUAAGCAGAGUAAGUUAUGUUAUUCUUAUUACAAAGCCAGUCUCAGUCAUUUUCUAUGAGUUCUUUGACUUUGCCACCUCAUUUUUCAUAAAGUUCUUUCAAGAAUAAUUACACAAUAGAAGUUCUUCCCACCACUUGGCACCACUUACCUGAUUAAUCAGUGCUCUGCUCUGCCUCCAGAGAGGACACUGAUGUCCAGAUGCCCACUGCACAUGAAUCUUUGGAUUAGACUUUCAUUCUGCUAGACGUUUCUGCUCCCAGGUGUUGAGUCAAUGCUGGUUCACAAACCUGUUUGUUCCAGUUGUUCUGGUUUAAUUAAAUAUUGCAUAACAUGAUGAAAUGUGAGUGGAAGAAAAAUAAAGUUCCCUCUAUUAAAAAUUAAAUGGAAAGCUUUAUUAAUAACGAAGGCAAAUCCGUUUUUAAAAACUGUUGUGAAUUAGGUGUGGGUGAGAGAGACAACUGGAAAAGGUGGAUGGCGAGUUGUGUAAGUUAUAACACCCAGCAGAAUUCUGCAUCAAGAACACUCUGUACCAGUUUUGAAAGUCUUGUUCCACUUUAAGGAAGUAAAAACUGAAAGUCAUAGGUGAUACACUAUUGAUGUGGCUUCUGGCAGAAGGAAGGGUGCUGAACCCCAAACAGUAGACUCAUAUUCAAAGUAAAGGUCUCAGCCCUACAUCAAAAGACUGGCAAAUGAAUAUAUGGGAGUGUAAGUUAAAAUGUUUAAAGUACAUAUGUGUGUGUGUGGCGAAAGCUACAAAUCAAGCAGAGGAGUCGAUGAGCAAGAGAAAUGGAACUGAAUUAGUAACUAGCAGGUAAGAAGUAGAUGGUUCAGGAAAGUAAAGAGGAUGGAGCUCAGAUUAUAGGAAAGUAAGGUGAAAAAAUAAACCCACUGAGAAAAUUUAAUCAAGAAGUUUGACAGAAAUAAAUCACUACUAACAAUGAUAAGAACUAGCAUUUAUUGAGUGCUUAUUGUAUACAGGUACUAUCCUGGCAUUUUCUAUGCACUAUUUUUUUUUUUACAACAAUUUAGGAGAUAGUACUAAGUAACUUGUGCCAGAUUAAACCACAAGAAUGUGAAACUGAUUUUUCUGGUAAAGCACAUGCUGGAGGGGAAAAGCUCAGGAUUUUUCUGAUGAGAGGAUAUUCCAGAAAUAAAAAUAAAAGGAUUCAAUCCAAAGCAAAUUAUAAGUAUUAAGUGUUCUUGCUGGUUGACCAAUAUUCGUUAAAAAAUACAAGCUUCCUGGACUUGCCUGGUGGCGCUGUGGAUAGGAAUCCACCUGCCAACACAGGGGACGUGGGUUCCACCCCUGUGCUGGGAAGAUGCCGAAUGCUGUGCAGCAACUAAGACCAUGCACCACAACUGCUGAGCCCAAGCUUAGAGGUCGAGAGCCGCAACUACUGAGCCCACACACCGCAACUCCUGAAGCCCGUGUGUGAGAGCCUGUGCUCCACAACAAGGCGAAGCCACCAAGAGCAGCCCGUGCACUGCAAUCAAGAGUAGGCCCUGCUCAUGCAACUAGAGAAAGCCUGUGUGCAGCAGCAAAGACCCAGUGCAACCAGAAAUAAAGAAACUAAUAAAAUAAAAAAAGGAUAGACAAGAAGGUCCUGCUGUAUAGCACAGGGAACUAUAUUCAAUAUCCUGUGAUAAA
rnacentral:lncRNA from 1 species